UUUUUCUGUUCUCUAAUUGUUGUUUCUCUGGGUCAAGGGUUCUAGGAUUGUUGCUGAUUUCUCAUAAUCUUAUAGAGCUUUUGCUCUAAUUCUUGUUUCAUAUUGCUGCAAUGGCUAUAACUGGAACUGGGUGGUUUUUUUGUUGUGAUUCUCGGUCAUUGAUUAAUUCUGGGCUAUAACUGGAAUUGGGUGUGAUAAUCAUGGUCAACUGAAUAUGAAACCAUUCUCCAUAAGUGAUAAUUGUCAAGAAAAAGAAGGGUGGUGAAGUUCAAGUUUAGCAGUUGCAAAUCCAAUAAUGGCUUCAACAAAAAAUAAUGUGACUUGCACCAUUAUAUACGAAGAUGACUGAGCAAGAAGAAAUUAUUAUAUGGUUGAUGCAGUAUGAAUGCAAAAAACUUCGCGGUUGGUGAUGAGGAAUGGCAAAUUUUUUGAUUCUGCGGAAAAAUAUGCCUGCGAGUACUUUUCAAUCUGGGCAAUAUUGUCAGGUUCAAUCUUCAUGUCAUGCUUAUCUUUACACAAAGAAGAUGUUUUAGCUGCUGCGGUCUACUUAUUCUACAAUAACUAUCCUAGACACAUCUCUCUUUUUGGGAAUGAAUGAGGAUGAAGCCACAACUUGAAAUUAACCAUGAAAUGUCUUUGAAGCUAUGAGCGUCUUUGGAGGUUCAAAUCUACUCGUUGUGAAGCAUUUAGAGCUUAUUCCGAUAUUUUAAAGCUAGCAGGACAGUUAGCAUACUGAAGUUCACAACAUAAAAGGAUACCAAGAAUUACAAACCAGUUGGAACCUGGAAGUCACUAAGCAAGCCUAGAGCCUAGAUCUAUGGUUGUAAAAGGAUCAAAGGCAGUUGCAGACUUGGCUCUAGUCUAAUACUAAUAGUCUUACCUAAUCAUAUUGUCUUGAUGAGCCUAAGUCGUCGUAGUGGCAGGUAAAAAGCCGUGUUUUGGUGGGUUUGGGUGCUCUGUACUUAUUGCUGGUGAUAUUAAAACACCAUGAAUAAAAAAUGCACUACCUAUGAAUAUGAAAAUUUUGAUGUAAAAAUGUUGUAGAAGACAUUUACGAACCUUGAUUAACUAUGCUUUUCCAUUGCU